rnacentral:rRNA from 1 species
AAGGAUGGCAGCAGGCGCGCAAAUUACCCACUCUCAGAACGAGGAGGUAGUGACGAAAAAUAACGAGACCGUUCUCUAUGAGGCCGGUCAUCGGAAUGGGUACAAUCUAAACCCUUUAACGAGUAUCUAUGAGAGGGCAAGUCUGGUGCCAGCAGCCGCGGUAAUUCCAGCUCUCAAAAUGCAUAGAAUUAUUGCUGCGGUUAAAAAGCUCGUAGUUGGAUCUGUGCCAGGAGAGCGGUCCACUUUCGGGUGGUACUGCUACGACUGGCUUCUUGCUGGUUUUCUCGUCGUAGUCUUAACCGAUUGCGGCGGGUGGCUGGCGAUUUUACUUUGAACAAAUCAGAGUGCUUAACACAGGCGUUUCGCUUGAAUGUUCUUGCAUGGAAUAAUAGAAAAGGAUUUCGGUUCUAUUUUAUUGGUUUUAUAGACUGAGAUAAUGGUUAACAGAGACAAACGGGGGCAUUCGUAUUGCUGCGUGAGAGGUGAAAUUCUUGGACCGCAGCAAGACGAACUACAGCGAAAGCAUUUGCCAAGAAUGUCUUCAUUAAUCAAGAACGAAAGUCAGAGGUUCGAAGGCGAUCAGAUACCGCCCUAGUUCUGACCGUAAACGAUGCCAACUAGCGAUCCGCCGGUGGAUAUUUUGCCCUGGUGGGGAGCUUCCCGGAAACGAAAGUCUUCCGGUUCCGGGGGAAGUAUGGUUGCAAAGCUGAAACUUAAAGGAAUUGACGGAAGGGCACCACCAGGAGUGGAGCCUGCGGCUUAAUUUGACUCAACACGGGAAAACUCACCCGGCCCGGACACCGUAAGGAUUGACAGAUUGAUAGCUUUUUCAUGAUUCGGUGGAUGGUGGUGCAUGGCCGUUCUUAGUUCGUGGAGCGAUUUGUCUGGUUUAUUCCGAUAACGAGCGAGACUCUAGCCUACUAAAUAGUUCGCACAUUGCGCUUCGUGUUGCGCAACUUCUUAGAGGGAUUUUCGGUGUUCAGCCGCACGAGAUUGAGCAAUAACAGGUCUGUGAUGCCCUUAGAUGUCCGGGGCUGCACGCGCGCUACACUGGCGAAAUCAGCGUGCUUAUCCUUUCUCGAAAGGGAUUGGUAAACCGUUGAAAAUUUGCCGUGAUUGGGAUCGGAAAUUGCAAUUAUUUUCCGUGAACGAGGAAUUUCAAGUAAGUGCGAGUCAUCAACUCGCGUUGAUUACGUCCCUGCCCUUU